rnacentral:lncRNA from 1 species
CCAGUGCACCCCAUCUGCUGCUUCCUGGGAGUGGUGGCUACUUCCUCAAAAGGAGGGUGGAUCUGCUCUCCUGUGCACUCCCCCUACCCCCGAGGGACUUGUGGAGCCCUGGCCACAUCCUCCCAGGGGGCUGCGGAGGAGGUCGGGUCACUCUUGAUCCCAGUUCCCAGUGAAAACUGGAGGUUGCCAUCACCUAACCACACAUGCAAUAAAGUCUUCUGCCUGCUGCUUACAGCCCCCGAGAACCUUCUCCGAGAGAAUAAAACCUUUGACUGCUGCU